AGAAAAAAGUGACGGUACCCGAGGAGGAAGCCCCGGCUAACUACGUGCCAGCAGCCGCGGUAAAACGUAGGGGGCGAGCGUUGUCCGGAAUUACUGGGCGUAAAGGGCGCGUAGGCGGUUUUUCAAGUCAGAUGUGAAAACUACCGGCUCAACCGGGAGCGUGCCUAUGAAACUGGGAGACUUGAGGGCAGGAGAGGGGAGUGGAAUUCCCAGUGUAGCGGUGAAAUGCGUAGAUAUUGGGAGGAACACCAGUGGCGAAGGCGGCUCUCUGGCCUGUUACUGACGCUGAGGCGCGAAAGCGUGGGGAGCGAACGGGAUUAAAUACCCCGGUAGUCCACGCCGUAAACGAUGGGUGCUAGGUGUAGGAGGUAUCGACCCCUUCUGUGCCGUAGUUAACACAA
rnacentral:rRNA from 1 species